rnacentral:rRNA from 1 species
UACAGAGGGUGCGAGCGUUAAUCGGAAUUACUGGGCGUAAAGCGUGCGUAGACGGUUAUUUAAGUCGGGUGUGAAAGCCCCGGGCUCAACCUGGGAAUUGCAUUCGAGACUGAAUAGCUAGGGUACGGUAGAGGGAAGCGGAAUUUCCGGUGUAGCGGUGAAAUGCGUAGAUAUCGGAAGGAACAUCAGUGGCGAAGGCGGCUUUCUGGACCAAUACUGACGAUCAGGUGCGAAAGCGUGGGGAGCAAACAGG